ensembl:lncRNA LINC-ROR long intergenic non-protein coding RNA, regulator of reprogramming
GCUCAUGAAAUUUGGUGAUGUGACUCGGAUAGGGGGACCUCCCUUGGGAGAUCAGUACCCUGUCCUCCUGCUCUUUGCUCCGUGAGAAAGAUCCACCUACAACCUCAGGUCCUUAGACCAACCAGCCCAAGAAACAUCUCACCAAUUUCAAAUCCAGACCCCACUGGAAAUCGGACUGUCCAACUCACCUGACAGCCACUCCCACAGCCGCUGGAACUCUGGCCCAAGGCUCUCUGACUCCUUCCCAGAUCUUCUUGGCUUAGCGGCUGAAGACUGACGCUGCCCGAUCGCCUCGGAAGCCCCCUAGACCAUCACGGACGCCGAGCUUCGGGUAACUCUCACAGUGGAAGGCUGGAGUGCAGUGGUACAAUCAUGGCACACUGCAGCCUCAACCUCAUGGGCUCAGAGAGGGGGUUUUGCCAUGUUUCCCAGGCUGGUCUCGAACUCCUGGGCUCAAGUGAUCCGCCCAGCUCAGCCUCCCAAAGUGCUAGGAUUACAAGCAUGAGCCACUGCACCCAGCCAAAAGCCCAAAAUGGUCUCAGGAAUGGGAUCAGCAGGUCUCAGGGUUGUACUCUCCUGGAUCUCUCACCAGCCACCUCAAACCAGCUGCCAUAGCCUGUCCACUUCCACUCCAAUCUUCUCUUCCUUCAUCACCUCCCUUGCACACCCUGAUAACCUCGAAAGAGAACUCUUCCCAAGGCUCUGUUCCAAACACAUCGCCACUCUGCUUAGAACCUUCAAUGACUCCUCAUGGCCUAGGAGGUUUCUCUCCCAUCUGGAUCCAGCUGACGUUCCCAGCACCUUCUCCUGACUCCUGUCUUUUCUUGAACCAGUUCUGCCCAACAAGGAGGAAAGGGCUGACAGAGUGAAAGUCCCAGGGCAUGUGGGAAUGUGACUCUUUUCACUUUAAAUUCUAUGACUGGAAAGUUUUGGGCAGAGUUGGACAUGUGCACUUAGCUUCCAGAAGACAGAAUCCUUUUAAAAGAGUCAGAGAAAACACUGGCUUCCUGCCAUGACAUGAGAUACAGACAGGAGAGUUGGGAAGCUUUUUAAAGAUGGCACUAUGACUACAAUCACAGAAACUCUCCAUGAGGAAGUAAAAGAAAGCACCUGCAACACUCCAGCUAUGCAGACCACUCUGUAAUGGGCUCAGAUCUGGACAGGUGUGUGGAAAGGUGGGUCAACAGGUCAGGCGUCACAGACUUGGAACAUUCAUGGUGGAAAAGAAAAAGCCCCAAAGAAGAGACUUCAGGAUAAAUGAGAAAAUACUCAAGACAGCAAAAGUCUCUUUUAGAAAUGUUGGAGAAAGAACACUUAAUGUCAGGAGUUACUGUUGAUUGAUGGCCUUACUGUGUAGCAGGUGAGAAACCCAUUGUUCAGUUCCCUAAAGUCACCCUAUUCUCCCAAUCAUCCUAUGGAGGGGGAACCAUGAUGGUUAUCCCCAUCUUAUAAAUAAAGCAACAGAGGCUUAGAAGGACGAACUCUUUUUCUCAAGGUUACCCAGAUCAUUUUGCAGAAGUCCCUAGAUUUGAAUCAUGCUCUUGCUUUGAGGUUAAAGACACAGGGGAAGUCGAACUCCUUAUCUCCUAUAUCCUGAAUAGGGAAAACCAAACAUUGUCAAGAGGAGAGGAAGCCUGAGAGUUGGCAUGAAUCAGAGUGCUGGGCAGUCUGGAGUCUUCCCCACUGAGUUGAUGAUGGAACAGUAGAGUGGGGCCUGAGCCCCGUUAGGGCAUGAGCUGCUGAAUGAUUCAUGUGAACACCAUGCACAUGGGAGUGAGGUUUUGAGCAGUGUGCCACAGGAGCCUACCCUCAGGCCCCACCAUAAAAUGUAGGGCCAGUCCUACAUUUUAUCAAUGACUUGCGUGAACACAGAAAAUGUGGAUACAACCAAAAGGUAACAAUCCAAUUAAAAAAUGGACAAAAAACUUGAAUAAACAUUUCUCAAAAGAAGAUAUACAAAUGAUCAAAAAGCAUAUGAAAAAAUGCUCAACAUCGCUAAUUGUAAGAGAAAUGCAAAUCAAAACUAUAAUGAGAUACCACCUUAUAUUGAUUAGGAAGACUGCUAUAAAAAUAGUAAACAAACAAACAAACAAAGUAAGUCUUGGGGAGGAUGCAGAGAAAUUAAAAUUUUUGUGCACUGUUAGUGGGAAUGUAAAAUGGUGCAGCUGUUACGGGAAACGGUAUGA